UACGGAGGGUGCAAGCGUUAUCCGGAUUCACUGGGUUUAAAGGGUGCGUAGGCGGGCAGGUAAGUCAGUGGUGAAAUCUCCGAGCUUAACUCGGAAACUGCCUUUGAUACUAUCUGUCUUGAAUAUUGUGGAGGUAAGCGGAAUAUGUCAUGUAGCGGUGAAAUGCUUAGAGAUGACAUAGAACACCCAUUGCGAAGGCAGCUUACUACGCAUAUAUUGACGCUGAGGCACGAAAGCGUGGGGGAUCAAACAGG
rnacentral:rRNA from 1 species